GGUAAAAUCCAAUGGCAAAGCUGAACAGGAAGAAGGUAAUGAGGAAAUACUUCUUGAGACUGGCAUUGUAGAUGCCCUGGAUGUGGCGGAAAGUUUCAGCAACAGCAAUGCCUGGGCGGGAGAAAGAGUGACGCAGAUGGAGAGUCAGGAGGGGAGGAACCUGUGGCUUCCUGAAUUGCAUGGAGAAGGCAACUUCUGAUGGACAGACAUUUCCAGAGAGAAUGCCAGCCUCCUUCCUUGCCGAUCUCCUCUCUGCCUGGCUCUUACUCACCACUUAAAGAUGAGGUUGAGCCAGUCUCCAAUCACAGCUACCCAGAGGAGUUGGAUGCCCACAGCUUCUCGAACAUGGAACCAGAUGGGGAAGAGGACAUAGAAGGCAUUCCUGAGGUCUGCGAUCACAGAGACCAGGAUGAACCAAUCCUGGGAGUCCUGGUAAUUCACCUGGAGGUAGUGUGUUGACUGGAUCCCAAAGUCAUGAAGGACGUUCAUGCCUUCCUCCAUGCUCACUCCCUGGCCCCUCAGGAAGCCGUCAGCU